GGUCAAGAGUUCCAGCGUCAAGCCCCGGCUUGCUGGACGGCAACCCUCCAACCGCGGUGGGGUGCUCCGGUGGGGACCUGGCCCGAUAUCGGGCAAGCGCGGGU
rnacentral:ncRNA from 1 species